rnacentral:rRNA from 1 species
UGGGGAAUAUUGCACAAUGGGCGCAAGCCUGAUGCAGCCAUGCCGCGUGUAUGAAGAAGGCCUUCGGGUUGUAAAGUACUUUCAGUCGGGAGGAAGGUGGUAAGGUUAAUAACCUUAUCAAUUGACGUUACCGACAGAAGAAGCACCGGCUAACUCCGUGCCAGCAGCCGCGGUAAUACGGAGGGUGCAAGCGUUAAUCGGAAUUACUGGGCGUAAAGCGCACGCAGGCGGUUGAUUGAGUCAGAUGUGAAAUCCCCGGGCUCAACCUGGGAACUGCAUCGGAUACUGGCCAGCUUGAGUCUCGUAGAGGGGGGUAGAAUUCCAGGUGUAGCGGUGAAAUGCGUAGAGAUCUGGAGGAAUACCGGUGGCGAAGGCGGCCCCCUGGACGAAGACUGACGCUCAGGUGCGAAAGCGUGGGGAGCAAACAGG